AAAUAUUCUUCUCCUUUCUUUUUCCUUCUUUCUUCCUUCCAUUUUUUUUUUAAAUUAUUUUCUUGCAUUUGAAGCUGGGAAAUUAUGGCUGAUGAUAAGGUAACUAUUUUGCUUUGUGGGUAAUUUUUUUAUUUAUAAAAACAAUAUAAAUGUACUUGUUUAAGUUGUUUUCUUGAGUUUUUGGAGAAUUUAAGGUUGUUGUUUCUUGGAUAUAUUGCUUCUUUAGAUCAUAUAUCAUUACUAAUAUGAGUUUUUGGGUAUUUUUUUUAAUGUACAAAAAGUUCAUAAAUUUACUUGUUUAAGUUGUUUUCUUGAAUUUUUGGAGAAUUUAAGGUGGUUGUUUCUGGGAUAUAUUGCUUCUUUAGAUCAUAUAUCAUUAUACUAAUAUGAGUUUACAUACCAUUUUGCUUUGUUGGUUUUUUUUUAAUGUACAAAAAGUUCAUAACUUUACUUGUUUAAGCUGUUUUCUUGAUUUUUUUGGAGAAUUUAAGGUUUUUUCUUGGAUAAAUUGCUUCUGUAGAUAAUGUUCUAAUGUACAAAUAACAAAAAGUUCAUAACUUUACUUGUUUAGUUGGUUAUUGCUAGUUAAGGGAAUAUUUGUGUUGUUGUCCUUUAGAUCAAAUUUCACUACUAAUCUGAGUUUAAACGCCAUUUUGUUUUAUGUGUAUUUAUUUUUUAUGUACAAAAAGUUUAUAACUUUGCUUAUUAUGUUGGUUUUCUUUCUGCUAGUUUCAUUUUUUGGAAACUUUUAGUGUGAAUAUUUGGGUUGUUGUUUCUUAGAUUCAAGAUUUGGUUUAUUUAAGUAUAUCUAGUUACACAAAUGUUUCUACUAGCUGUUUUCAUAUUUCUUUUAAAGCAAGUGACUCACCUUCUUGAGCCACACGUUUCUUCCUAGAGUAGUCACAAGCUAUAUUAAACGGAGACUUGUUCAGGUAUUUAGGGGGCUGGCGUACAUGCACACUAUUGCCGGCGUUUGCCACAGACAUUUGAAAUUUUUAUUUAAGGGCUUCAAAAUAUAAAGAAGAAAAGUAAUAUCUACAUUAAAGAAAUAUAAUUUUACCUAGCUACAGAAUGUAUUUUUUCCAACGAACAUAUGGCUCCAUCACUGAUCAUAUCAAUUCUAAUUUCACCAAGUCUUUCACGUUUCAAUUAGAAUUGUAAAUAUGGUUCAUAAAUUCCCCUAAUCAGACAAAGACUUGUGCAAGUCAAUCAAGUCUUGCUUUGGUAUGCCAUGUUCCUCUAAUAUGUUAAUUUUACUAACUUAUAUUAUACUCUUGAGAAUUAUUUUUACAUGAUUAAAAUAGUUUAGGGAGAAAAGUUCGAAAUAUAUUUAAAUUUUGGUAAAAUUUGUUGGAACAUGUCUCAAUUUUGGGAGAGUCCUAUCACCCUCUGGAUUAUUUUUUACUGUAUUUCUGUGGCAUAAAUUUGCUUGCUUGACCAUUACAUGAAUGCACGCACACUGUGCACGUAACUGUCUGAAGUGGUCUAGCUAAGCUAUGCUACAGAAAUGCGGUAAAAAAUAAUCUAGGGGGACCAGCGUCCCCGUAAAGUUAAGGCAUGUUCCAACAAAUUUCGUCAAAACUUAUAUAUUUCGAACCUUUUUCCCGAUAGUUUAUAUAGCUAAUCAUAACAUUCUAGUUACUUUUCAUAAAAGUUAAUUUAGCUCAUUUUUAUAUGAGAUGGUAAUAAAAUGAGCUUUUAAUUAUAGUUUAUAAUUUGUUUGAAAUUUUGACUUGUUUUAGAGUAUGUUUUUAUGAACUUUUUUUUUGAUAAAAGAAUACACAAAAUUAAGAGCCAUUUGGAUAGAAUUAAAAUCUGGUCAAAUCUUUUCAUUUUUUUUUUUGGCUUUCCUUUAAGUGUUUAGUAAAAUUAAAAAGUGCUAAAAAAAACCAAAAACUGAUUAAAAAAAAAGUGAGAAGCUGGAGGGUGGGCUUGUUGUUGUUGAUGGAGCUGUUGAUGGUGGUAGUGGUGCUACUGUUGGUGCUAAUGAUGCUCCUCUUACAGUAUUUAAAGCAAACCAUUAUGAGUAUGAUCAUACUGGUUAUACAGAUUUUGCCUCUCCCAGCGAAUGCUCUGCAUGCAAAUGUCAAGACUGCAGAUUUUGCCUCUCCCAGCGAAUACUCUGCAUGCAAAUGUCAAGACUGCAGAUUUUGCCUCUCCCAGCGAAUACUCUGCAUGCAAAUGUCAAGACUGCAGGGCGAAACAUGAUGUAGUGAUUAAUGCUAUUAAUGCAUUAACUUCUUCUGUAAAGGAAUUGACAUCUAAGAGGGGUCUCAUUCCAUCAAAGAGGAUUUUAUUUCAUCAGUCAUCCAAAAAAGUGAAAUUGCAACUCCUCUGUCUGUGUGUUGUACUAAGCAACGUACAAUGUCCAAAGGAGAGCAGCACGAGCUGAAGAAGGUGAAUAUAUUAUAUGUCUUCCAACUGACAAAACAAACAAACACAUAUCUGUUUCAACAGAUGACACAUCUGCUGAAAAUUUUCUAAUAGAUAUAUACAUCUGUUACAACAAUUGACUAACCUGUUGCACCAGAUACUUUAUCUGAUGCAACAUAUGUCUCAUCUAUUUUAGCAAAUCAAACAGCUCUUCGUACAACUUUUAUUUGUACCAACAGACGACCUAUCUGCUGCAACAGAUGAUUCAUAUGUUACAACGGAUGGUUCAUCCGUUGGAAAUUAUCACACAGGAUCUUCCUCAUGUAAAAAUUUGUCCCAACAGUUGAUUCAUUAUUGCAACAAAAAUAAAAUAUGUUUGGGAUAAUUUAAAAUGGGAGGAAGACCUGUUUGAUUUGCUAGAAGAGAUGAGUUAUCCUUUUCUGUUUUGUUGUAUCUCCGUGAUUAGCAUUGACCAAUUCUGGCUUUCCAGGUUGAUAUAGAAGAAGCUACUGCUGAACAAAAUUGACAAUAUUCUACUUUUUUUAUGGAAAUACGGACAACAAAAAGUGUAGAAACCGUACACAAGCGACAAUGAAGAUCCACGACCAGCAAAGCCGAAUUCCAUAGUACCGGAUGAAGAACAACUUGUCCAUACUGAGUAGAUCUUUAUAUCUUGAGCCUGUCAAAGCAAUCCUUGGUAGUAUACUUAAAUUGUUGUUGAUGUAUUUGUUGAGAUCUAUUCCCAUAACAAUUUUUUUACAUUUCAUUUAUUCGUUGACUUAUUUCAGCUAAUUUAUGAAGGCUUCGAUUUAUUUUA
rnacentral:lncRNA from 1 species